GCCAGGCGUGGUGGCGGACGCCUGUAAUCCCAGCUUCUCAGGAGGCUGAGGCAGGAGAAUCGCUUGAACCCAGGAGGCGGAGGUUGCAGUGAGCCGAGAUCGUGCCACUGCACUCCAGCCUGGGUGACAGAGCGAGACUCUUGUCUCAU
rfam:Pan troglodytes isolate Yerkes chimp pedigree #C0471 (Clint) chromosome 6, whole genome shotgun sequence.